GACGAACGCUGGCGGCGUGCUUAACACAUGCAAGUCGAACGGAAAGGCCUGCUUUCCCUUGUGGAUUGCGGGUACUCGAGUGGCGAACGGGUGAGUAACACGUGAGUGAUCUGCCCCCAACUUGGGUAUAAGCCUGGGAAACUGGGUCUAAUUCCCGAUAGGACUGCAGGGUGGUGCCUGUGGUGGAAAACGAUUUUCUAGUGGUUGGGGAUGAGCUCGCGGCCUAUCAGCUUGUUGGUGGGGUAAUGGCCUACCAAGGCGGCGACGGGUAGCCGGCCUGGGAGGGUGGACCGGCACAUUGGGAAUGGGCCACGGCCCAGAGUGCGACGGGAGGAAGGAGUGGGGAAUAUUGGACAAUGGGCGGAAGGCUGAUGGAGCGACGCGGCGUGGGGGAUGACGGACUGCGGGGUGUAAUCUCCUGUCGACCGCGAGUAAGCCACCUGGUUGGAAGGGUGGUGACGGUAGUGGUAGAAGAAGCACCGGCUAACUACGUG
rnacentral:rRNA from 1 species